rnacentral:rRNA from 1 species
AUUGAACGCUGGCGGAAUGCUUUACACAUGCAAGUCGAACGGCAGCACGGACUUCGGUCUGGUGGCGAGUGGCGAACGGGUGAGUAAUGUAUCGGAACGUGCCCAGUCGUGGGGGCUAACGUAGUGAAAAUUACGCUAAUACCGCAUACGAUCUAUGGAUGAAAGCGGGGGAUCGCAAGACCUCGCGCGCUUGGAGCGGCCGAUAUCAGAUUAGGUAGUUGGUGGGGUAAAGGCCCACCAAGCCAACGAUCUGUAGCUGGUCUGAGAGGACGACCAGCCACACUGGAACUGAGACACGGUCCAGACUCCUACGGGAGGCAGCAGUGGGGAAUUUUGGACAGUGGGCGAAAGCCUGAUCCAGCCAUUCCGCGUGCAGGAUGAAGGCCCUCGGGUUGUAAACUGCUUUUGUACAGAACGAAAAGGUUUCUACUAAUACUAGGAGCUCAUGACGGUACUGUAAGAAUAAGCACCGGCUAACUACGUGCCAGCCGCCGCAGUAA